ACCUGGCGACAGGGAGCGGAACCCGAAAGCCUGUCUCAGUUCGGAUUGGAGUCUGCAACCCGACUCCAUGAAGCUGGAUUCGCUAGUAAUCGCGCAUCAGCCACGGCGCGGUGAAUACGUUCCCGGGCCUUGUACACACCGCCCGUCAAGCCAUGGAAGCCGGGGGUGCCUGAAGUGCGCUGCCGCAAGGAGCGCCCUAGGGUAAAACCGGUGACUGGGGCUAAGUCGUAACAAGGUAGC
rnacentral:rRNA from 1 species